CCUAAAAGACAAUCCCCAGGCCCUGCUGAGCUCAUGUGCUAUCCUGGCUGUGACAAGGCAGUCCUCAGGGGCUCUCUGACUCAACUCAUAACGUCUAUCCUGAGAACGGUAAGCCAUGACUUUGCUUCUACUGUCUGGUUUUCUUAUUCAAUCACAGGGUUAAUGGCAAACUUCAUCAACCCUUUUUUUUCUUCUUCCCAAUCCCAUCCAGGAAGUCCCUAAAUUCUCUUUAAUCUCUCUCACCUCUGUCCUAGUCAGGUCCUUAUCACCUCUCACUCGGAUGGUGGCAAGAGCCUUCUGGCUCUCUGCGUUCUGGAGGCGGUGAAGUGCAUGGGAACGGCACAGGCCUUAAAGUCAGAAAACCCACAAUUCGAUUCCUGUCUUCGCCUUGUACUAGUGGUGCAAGCUCUGUGGGCUUCCCUCUCCUCCCCUCCACUCACCCCAUGGGGAGUUGGUGAGGACUCACCAAGGGCUUUGUACUACAGUAUUGGGCACUCGCAUGGCUUUUCACACGCAGACGCCUUCACGUCUGUUCUCUUCCCUCGGAUAUGGUCACCUCUGAAUCUCACAGGAGGGGGUCAGGGGUGACUUUGGGGAAGGAUAUCGGCAUUCCUGGGUCUCUGGCUCUAAAACCAUCAAAAGACCAUCAAAAUCCACAACCAGUCUUAAAGCUCUUCUGCUUUUUCUACCAUUAAGUUGCAAGAAACCUUCAAAGCCCCUCAUUUUUUUUCAACAACCCCCCUCAUUCCACCCCUGCUGAAGGAGCUCAGUUAGUCUCUCCACGAAGGUGUGUCAGUCAUACCACCACCACCGCCGCCACCACCGCGGCCACCAUCAUCACCACCACCACCGUCACCAUCACUUCUCAGUCAUUCCAAAGGGCACAAGCAAGUGAGGAAGACUCUUGCUGGCCUUUUCUCCAGCUCCUGCAAGCCUGUGUGAUGGGCUCUCCUACCUAUCUUCUGACUGCUCAGUCUGCUCUCAGGCCUGCCCCUGUCCACAAGGCUCAGUCCCAUCUCUAAAAAGCAUGGCCUCUAAAAAAAAUAAAAUAAAAUAAAUAAAAA